GAUGAACGCUGGCGGCGUGCCUAACACAUGCAAGUCGAACGAUUUACUUCGGUAAAGAGCGGCGGACGGGUGAGUAACGCGUGGGUAACCUGCCUCAUACACAUGGAUAACAUACCGAAAGGUAUGCUAAUACAAGAUGAUAUAAGAGAUUCGCAUGUAUUUCUUAUCAAAGCUCUGGCGGUAUGAGAUGGACCCGCGUCUGAUUUGCUAGUUGGUAAGGUAACGGCUUACCAAGGCGACGAUCAGUAGCCGACCUGAGAGGGUGAUCGGCCACAUUGGAACUGAGACACGGUCCAAACUCCUACGGGAGGCAGCAGUGGGGAAUAUUGCACAAUGGGCGAAAGCCUGAUGCAGCAACGCCGCGUGAGCGAUGAAGGCCUUCGGGUCGUAAAGCUCUGUCCUCAAGGAAGAUAAUGACGGUACUUGAGGAGGAAGCCCCGGCUAACUACGUGCCAGCCGCCGCGGUAAUAC
rnacentral:rRNA from 1 species